ACAGGUGGUCAUCGAUAUUAGGCAGCACCUUGAAGUGCGAGCAGACUCCUGGAUCUAAUCCCUCAGACCUGAAUGGAAAUGGUGGCAGCUCCAGCUCCUCUUGGGGAUGAAGCAGGCGAGAGGGAAUCACCCUACCAAGCAGAUGUCCCUUUUUAAUACACAUGAGAAUGACAUUUAAAAGAAUCGAAGACUGUCUCUCGUAUACAGAGAGGUGCAGAACAGAAAGACCUUACUCUUUUCCUGUGGUUUGACCUCUCUCAACCUUACAUGGGCGUAAGCAGAUCACAACAGAAAAUAAUGCAGUUUCUGUGCUUCCAAUGCAGUAUUCAUGAAUUCACCGAGGGAGCCAAUAAUAUUGGAUUUGACUGUGAGUGGCUGGAAAAGGAAUAUUUUUUUCAAGUCAACAGAGAUUCUUUCAGAAUUGUUUAAUGUUAAUAGUUUGGGUUUUAAGAACAUCAUCAAGGAAGAUGAAGCUUGUGGUAAAAUCAUGAAUGUUACUACACUGAAUCACAAGGCUUAGAAACCUCCACCAAAUCAGUUUGUCACUUUUACAAGAUAUCCUGUUGUGCUACUCUAAUCCAGAAUGGCAGAUUUUUAUUUUCUCCACUGGAGGUUUAGGUCAUCCAGACCUAGCUGUAAAUUGGACCUCAGUAUUAUGAACCAGCAUUUCCUAAACAACAUAUAAUCAAGGCGGACAUGAUUUAUUAUAUUUCUUAUUUACCUGGCAUUCUGUGGAGCCAUGUAUUUCUGCUAAGUUUCCUUACGUAGUGUAACAUAUAUCCGUUGGAAUGUAUUUGAUACAACAGUAUUCUUAUUUGAGUGGAUAUGACUAAGUGACUAUAAUGUCCUUCUGUGCUAUGUUAGUUUAUGAAUACAUUCCUGUCACGAAGGGGAAGAACAGGGAGAAUGAACUGGGCAGCUGGAAAUUUGAAACUGCGAUCUGUAAAAGAUCUUCAUAUGCUGUGAAAUAAUCUGCAAGGAUGCUUAGCAGGUGAACAAAAAUCAACUUGGUAGAAAUCAUGUACUAAAUUUCAAUGAAAAUACAGAGCUCUAUUAGCUUCAGAAGUGGGGACACUAAUGCCUUGGACAGUUUAUUAGUUAUUGUACAUGGUAUAAAACAAAACCUACAGGUUAAAAAGUUGGUGAUACCAGAAUUUUUCUGUUUUGUGUAAUACUGGAGUGACUGCUGUGUUAAUGCCAUAAGCAAGAAAAAUCCACCUUUAACUAUGCAUGCAGCUUGACAAUUAGAGUACAAAUCAAAUACAAGACACUUUCGAAGCAUCUUUGAAAUAAGUUAGAUGAAAACUACAGACUGCUAUCAUUCACAAAAUCUGCACCCCUGCUGUUGCUCAGUCUUUUGAAACUGAGAGGCUGAAAAUGUAAGGCUUAGUAAAAAGAAAAUUCUCUAUUGUUGGAACUUUUUCAGGAUAUCAGCAUGCAUAGUAUCCCUCAUGGAUUUAUCUUCUUGUGACAGGCAGUCUGGCUUUAAUUUCCCAAGUCUCUUUGUACUGUCCAUUUACUAUCAAUCAAUCUUCCCAUAUGAACAUGUUUCUGAUAUACUAUGAACUGAAGAGGAAAAAAAUAAUUAAUGAUCUUCUCUAUUUUGGGGAAAACCAGUGGAAAACUAUUUAUUUUCCUGAAGAUUCUAUAUCAGUAAAUGAAUAUGAACAAAACAAACAAAUUAGUUCUCUAGAACUAUUCAAAUAUUUUUACAACACAAUUCAGACUUAAUAGUGCAGAUUCUAAUGUAGCUUUUGGCAAUGUCUCUCUAAUACUAGAGGGCUACAUCAUUCACCAGCUAUAACUUUAGGAGGAUUUCAACUGAUUAUAAAUAAUAUACAAGGGUGUAAUCUUCUGGAAAAUCAGAUUUUUAUUCUCUUGAGAUACUGUAAUUUAUAAGCAAGAACACAAUUUCAGAAGAACAUAAAAUAAUGAUUGCCAAUAUUUCAACUACUCUUUUACAACCCUUUAAUAAAAUUAAGGAAAUUGA